CAGCGUCGUUCUUCCUGGCCAGUCGAGCGCGCGCAAGAGUACAUCAAGAGUGUAAAGUGCCUCCUAGCUUCACAGAAGAGUUCACAGGAGUGUCAGUGAGGAAAGAGUGGGCAUCUAUAAACUCAGUGGGGUCGUCUGCAAAUUCUGCAAAUUUCCCCCCAAAAGAACAGGCUCCUGGCUUCCUUUGAAUGAAGAUGUAGAACUCUCAUCUCCUCCAGCACUGUGCCUGCAUGGGCCUUUCCAUGCUUCCCACCAUGAUAACGGACUGAAACUCAGAGCCUAUGAGCCAGCCCCAAUUAAAUGCUGUCCUUGUAAGAGCUGCCUUGGUCCUGGUGUCUGCUCACAGCAAUGGAAACCCUCCCUGAGACACCCACAGAGACCAAGGACCAGAGCCCAGGCAGAAGUGGCUGAGAAGAAGCACAUGCCUUCAAGUUCUCAUCAAGUACCAUCUUGCAAAUCUUUCUCCACGGACUUUCCUUUCCCCCCAAAGGACAGAGCAGUGACUUCAUAAGGCUUUGCAGAGUCAUCUCCAGGCAGACAUCCAUAUGCUUUAUCCUUUAAUCAUUUCUCUUAUGAUAAGGUUUGUAGUUUCUCACCAUACACCAGCUGCUGCUAAGUGUGAUCACAGUGCUCCAUCCAGGGUAAGUGCGGCCUAAGACUCCAUGUCUUCUUUUGCAAACAGUGUUUUUGUCAGUAUGGCCCGACAUCUCACAGGUGCAUAACUCUUUGGUUUGUACUCAGUGCUUUUGGUAGGCAAUAUUUCAGAUCUUUCUAUGUGAAUUAUUGUCUCACACAUCUACAAUUGCUUUGGGGAACAUUAGAGGGAAAAAUAUGUUAUUUAUCUCAUUUAAAUUUUACCAUGCUUGAUUAGUAAUUGUAUAGUUUAUGAAAAUACAGAGGGAUCCUGAUUUCUCCCAGCUUCAUGCCACUCACGGUAGCAUUUAUCUCUAUUUAAAGGCCUGUCUAAGUUUCUGGCUUCGAUACUGGCCAGAAAUUGGAGGUUCCUCCUGUUGGUUGCCAAUAUAGAUUGAUCACAAAUUGGUGCUUGUCUUAUAUAAAGUAAUCAGCUUGCUGUUUGUCUAGAUGACUAGAGGAGACUCUGACCCACAUUUCUCCAUCUUGGCAGUUCAAACAGCAUAAGAUUAUAGUGCUGGACCCCGAGGUCCUGAGAACAGGAGCUAGCCUCAUCCCUCACCGGCUGCACAAUUCAGGCAAGAACAGGACCUGUACCUCUGCUGGGUAGGACAGCAGAGCUGACCCUGAUGAUGAGUGUGGGUGAUCUGGCCCUCAAGGACAGGUUAUCAGGAGAACUAGUCCUGCCCCUUGACAAGGGAAGCACUGGGUGAGCUAGCUGGGGAAGUUCUAGAGAACUCAUCCUGAUGGUACAGGCACAGGAAAGCUGUCAGGGUAAUCAACUCAGCUCCCUCCCAGACCCAGGUCCAGGGCUUUGAGUUGGCCCACCCCAUUUAUGACCUGCUGGAGCACUUGAAGGGGCCAGUCCUGGAGACCAAAGCUGCAGGAUCUCCAUGAUACAGGGCAACAACAACAGGAUAGAUAACCAAGAGGACUCCCAGUGAGGAUCCAGCAUUGAUAGUGUGGCAGAAGCCAGAGACCUCGAAUCAGGCCAGUGACCCAUUAAAAUAAACGUUUACAGGUGAAGAUAUGAGGACAGAGGAAUAUACUAUGGGGCACACUGUGGGACAGUGAGAUACACUGUGGGAAACACUGUGGGACACACUGUGAUCACACUGUGGGACACACUAUGAGACAGUGCAGCUCCCACCACAAGAUAUCUUUUUUUGUUGUUAUUAUUGUCGUUAAUUUUCUCAUUUUUAAAAUUUUUAUCUUAUUUCAUUCUCUUUGG